GCUCUGUUGGUGAACCAGCGGAGGGAUCAUUACAGGACUCGCAAGACUCCUUCACCCUGUGAACCUCACUACAAGCACGUUGCUUCGGCGGGUGUCCCGGCGGGGGUUUUCCCUCGCCGGGGCGCACAGCCCGCCGGCAGCCUACUAUACUCUGUCUCUUUGCGUUGGCAUCUCGAGAAAAAACAAACAAGUUAAAACUUUCAACAACGGAUCUCUUGGUUCUG
rnacentral:misc_RNA from 1 species